UUUUUUAGAUCUAAAAUUCAAAAGGUUUCAGUUGGAUUUGGGGAAAAUUAGUUUAGGAUUUGGGUAGAGGAGGGUGAGACCGUUGCGGAUUGUGAUUUUUGUAAGGUUUGGGAGGUGGCACCGCCGUACACGGCGAGGCGGCAUCACUAUUUUUUGAAUAUUCAAAGAGCUUGGGUUGGAUUUGAAGGAUGAUAUUUAGAGCUUUGGAAAGAGGAGAAGAAGGCGAUUAAAGGGUGUAAAUUUUGUUGCCAUUGGAGCUUUGCCGCCGGCGGAGACGAUUUCUGGUCGGCGGCAGGCGGCGGAGGGGCGGCGGAGAAAAGUGGUACAAGGAAGAAGGG
rnacentral:lncRNA from 1 species